CGCAAACAUGAACAAGAUUUGCCGAUCUGGAUUUUUUUCCAUUCACGUUCGGUACGGGAAGGGGUUGGUUCAUCGUGACUAAAUUUAACAUAAAUAUUCAACUCUCGUGGUAAUGGAAAUUCGAGGGUCGGAGUACAGAAGUCAAUGUAUCCCAACGGUAUUCCUUCUUGUACAAUUCGCGGUAUAAGCAAAUAUUUCACAGGCCAAAUCGUCAGAUUCGCUCCCUUGGUAUAAUAUUAUGACGACUGCCAAGUCGCAGAUUAAAAUUCCUGGCGACUCGAGCGUGAACAACGCGCGACAAACGCAAAAACGACGCGACACAUUGAUUAGUAUGAGAAUUUCGCAAGGGAUAUCAUUCGAGUAUUAUUUUUAGAUCGCGGGCAAUGUUUCACUGAUGACUUAAAAAAAAAUAAUCCCAGGUUUCGAAGAUAGGAAAAAAAUUACAAAAAAAUCAUUAUUAAGCCAUCCCAGUGAGUGCGCUUAUACUAGUGUCCUUGUUCAUUUCAGAAAUGCCCUGUGUAUGGUGCCGGCCUUAUCUAGUCGUUUCAUUGUACUUGUUAAUAUCCGUGAGCCUAUAUUGUAUUAUAUUAUUAUAUUUUGUUCGUAGCGCCAUGUUGGCGUCACCGCGGUCGUUCUUCGGUUUUUCGAAAAUAAUAUUCGAUUAUUAUUAACGUGCACCCACUUACUUUAUUGUUAAACUUAGAUGCGUAUUGUGAUGCCACUCGUUGACGUGCCGCAGCGUAUCUAUUCCUAUUAUUAUUUAACACUGUACGAACGUAUCGUAUCGGUUUUACUACUCUAAUUGUACCACUCAUACCUCCCCCCCCCCUCGUUAUUAUUAUUGUAAUGUUAGACCAAUCAACUCGUACGUACGUCCGUUCGGAUAAUAUCCGGCGUUGGUGGUUUCAACAAAAAAAAAAAAAAAAAAAAAAAAAUAAAAAAACCCGCGUGACUCGUUAAAUUUCGGACGUAUAGGUACAGAUUAUAUGAAUAUGAUUGAAUAUUAUUAUAACGUUUGAAUUAUUAUAAUUUGUCAUAUUAAUAUUUGUGUACAUAUCAAUAUCAUAUUAUUAUUAUUAUUAUUAUCAUUAUUAUUAUUAUUAUUAUUAUUAGUAUUAUAUUAAUGUGUUAUCAUUCAUAUGAUAUUUUAUUUGCAUAUAGAACUAAUUAUAACAUUAUGUAUUUGGAACCGCGUCAGAGUGUCACUAUCGCGUCGGAGAGUACACCCGCAUACACCGACGCCGCACCCGGAAUAACAUCGCACGUUGUUAUACACAUACGUCAUCGACGACGGGGUGUAAAUGACAAACCCGAUGAUGUAUUUAUGUUUAAGGUACCUAUAAUGUUUGUUAUUGUUACCACGAUAACACCGGAUCCUCGGCAAUUCGUCAUUGUACCCACGUUGUCCGCGCGUACCUAUAUACGACCGAGACACACCGGAACAUCGGCUGCAGUUCCCCCUCCCCAUUUAUCGCCCCUGCGCGAAUACCGAAAAACCCAAUCGCGGGCGAACGAGCGUCAUCGGUGAAAGAUCGUACAAUACUGUAACCGUAUACGAUGGGUAUAAUGCUAUAAUGCGAUAAUUGUGUAAAAUUAAAACCACCGAUCCGCGUGAUUUAUAUUUUUGAAACUAUAAUAAUCAAAAACAUUUUAUUAUGUUAUUGUAUCUAGAUAAUAUAUUGUUGUUUAUGCGCCCGCGGUUCUCCGCUAUCGGAUUCUCUGUAUAUAUAUACAUAUAAAACAAAAAAAAACAAAAAAACCUCCGACUGUUAAAAUAUCCAAAUGCAAUGAGUUCACAAACAAGUGUAGCCGAACGCAAAACAGUAUUUCAUUUGGGUAUACUUAUACUUGUUGCUAUAAUAUUAUCACCUCAUCUGCGCCACCGACCAUGCCAAAGGACUGUAAUAAACGUGCCAAUAAUCGUACAAAUCAAAUACCUACAACGUAUGUCUUUACGCUGUACAACUUCUUGUUCAUCCUGACACGGCGAUCGAAAAUCAUUUAAUCCCGUCGUGAGUUAAAUACUGGUAAUGUUUAUUUAAUAACGUAAUAUUUCGCGCUAACAAUGUGCUUUAAACGACCUAUUCCAUCGUCACGAUGCAACUAUCGCAACUGACACUGUGCACCUAUAUUAAUGGCUGAAUUACGUUAAUAUGUUAAUGCAAGGUUUUGAUAGAUGUGUAUGUUAUGCUAUAGUUUCCAUGAUAAUUAAGAGACUAAGAAAAAAAAAAUAUAAUAUAUAUAUAGCACAAACGAUUUUCUUAAAUACUAGUUUUAUUAAUAUUGAUAAUAAUCUCAUUUUCCAUCUGUCUCGUACGUGACAGCAACAAUAAGACAUUCGACAUUUUCACGAUUGCAACACUCGUUUUAUAAAAAAAAAAGAGUAUUUAUUACGGAUCCUGCAAAUGAUUUGUUCAAUCGCUUUUUUUUUUCUUUAUCAAAAAACGCGUUUUUUUUUUAAAUUUAACUAGAAUUCUCUUGCUUUUAACCGUUACAACUUAUUAUGAAAUGAAAAUGUUUUUUUUUUUUUUUUUAUUAAAUCGGAUCUGAAUUACAUACUCUUCAGAUAUAUAAUUGGUCCCUUUGCCCUGAACUCAGCCGGAAAGUUGCAAUCACGGAAAUGUGGAAUUUUUUAGUUCACACGCGAAACAGACAGAAAAAACAAAUGAUUUGUUAGUGACGAGGCCGCUUGGACUGCAGUUUUAUCGAAAAUAUCAAACGAAAUCAUUUUACUAUUAUAACUGUUAACUUACUUGUAUAUUUUGUUUGCAGCUUAUAGUUUUGGAUAUUUAAUAGCGAUGAACGUUGUAUCUAUAUUAUAGUAUUUACUUGUUUAAGCAUUUUUUGUUUUGGUAGUUUUACGUAUACCCAAUAAUGUUAAUAUUACAUUUUAUUAAGAACAUCAUCAGAAUAAAAAGACUAUAGGUUAGGAAAUAUAAAAUAUUUUAGACUUAUAUAUUAUAUUGUAAAAGAUUUGUUUGUGUUUUAAUACGAUUUUGUUACCUAUUAAAUUUAUGAUUUACGAG